rnacentral:rRNA from 1 species
GACGAACGCUGGCGGCGUGCUUAACACAUGCAAGUCGAACGGAGUGGCGAACGGGUGAGUAACACGUGGGUGAUCUGCCUUGCACUUCGGGGUAAGCUUGGGGAACUGGGUCUCAUUCCGGCUAUUGCAAGAUGAGCUCUCGGCCUAGCAGCUUGGUGGUGGGGUAAUGGCCUACCAAGGCGUCGCCGGGUAGCCGGCAUGAGAGGGGGUACGGCCACAUUGGGACUGAGAUACGGACCAGACUCCUACGGGAGGCAGCAGGGGGGAAUAUUGCGCAAUGGGCGGAAGCCUGAUGCAGCGACGCCGCGUGGGGGAUGAAGGUCUUCGGGUUGUAAACUCCUUUCGACAGGGACGCGGUACCUGUAGAAGAAGCACCGGCUAACUACGUGCCAGCAGCCGCGGUAAUUC